rnacentral:lncRNA from 1 species
UUUCUAUCUCUCUGCUGGAGUCGUAGGGGUUAACAUUGAUCUUCACAAUGAGGAAUUGAAAGAGACACUGGCAUGAAAUAUCUGGGGAAAGAGGACAAUGACCAGGGCCCCAGGAGGUUCUCAUUCCCCUUAACAGUAGGUUCUCAUCCCCUUUAACUAAUGUAGACACUGGGUCUCACAAUUUUAAAGUUUCUACUUUAAUCUUCCUCAUACUUUAGGGUAUCCUGUUGCUUCUGCCCCAGGUAAUCAAAUGUUAGUCUUGUGUUUAUCCUGGAAGUAACUUCCCUCCAAAUUAAAGGAUUUAGGUUUGCUCUGUGACAUCUAUUCUCUGAUGAGUCUAAGAAAAGUAUUGCUUUUCUGUCUGUCCAGCUUUGUUGUUGUAAAACAGGAAUGCUGAAUUCCAAGCUCCAUAGCUUGGAGCUGAAACUGGAAAUUUUGUAUCAAUUCUUCUGACCAUCUUCUGUGAACUUCAUGUAUUUAUUCUGACAAAGUAUUUAAAGCCACUCUGCAAAAUAUUGAUUAUUUGUUAUUUAGUUUACAUCCUAGAUAGCUUAUUUCAUUAAUAAAAUGCUUAGUUAAUGUUGAUGUUAUUACCUAUUAUGGAAUAUAAAUAAGGUUAUCUAACUCUGUGCAACUGGGAAAAUAGAAAAUAGAGAAGGCAGUCUGUGAUAUUUUGGGUUCCUGCCCUGGGUAAUAUGUGCCUCUUGCUACUUCCUGCUAUUAUACAGAAGUGAAAAAUCUCAUCAUGAAUGGUUAUCUUGUCAACUAAGAUUAUAUUUUACUUUAUCCACACAAAGACAAAAGUUAUGUUACAGCUUCUAACAACAGCAGCAACAAUAAUGCAAAAGGAUGACGCAAAUACUUUAGGGUUACUUUAAAAUUUCAAGAGACAGAGAAACACUUAUUGUAAAUAUUGCGGAGAAGCCAAAGUAAAUUGGUGGGAGAGAAAUAUAGGUGGCAGGUUGCUAAAAACAUACAUCUAUAAAGUAAGGAAAAUUCCUAGGAGUAAUUAAAAAUACAUUUUUAUGUAAAAUAAAAAACCCGUUUCAUGUCCUCAAAUCUUAGGAAGAAGAAUAUGAUGUAUUUUCUCUGAGGUAAAUGAUUUUUCAUUUGCAUUCAAUAUUGUAAAUAAAUAAAAUUUCAUGCACAGAUGAGUUGCUCCCUGGAUGAGAGUUUUCCCAUUUCCCCAUUGUCUUUGGGAAAAGGAGAAAUAAACCCUCGUGCAGAAAUUUGUAGUGGCAAUGUGUGUUCAAUGGGCUGACGACUGUAGUUGAGAUGAGCCUUAAAAUUAGGGAGCCUAGCUGGUUGUCCCAAGUCCUUAACACUUAAAUUUUUCACAAUUUUGAAAACCAAAUUUUCAAUUAUGCUUCUAGUACAAGGAUUAGAAUUGAAAUCAGGAAGCUGCAAGAAGACUCAUAUUUUGUAAUAACACUCUUGAGUGAACCAUCACAUGAACUUUUAAAAUAUGUUUUCAACGACCUUAAGAGGAAGUUGCUUUGGGCAACAGAAUUUCAGUCACUGCUUUGGAUUUUAUGUCCUUAGUAGUAAUGGUUAAUGUCUACUGACAAAAGGGUUGAUCAACUGUCUCAGUUGCCUGUGACUGUGAGGCUUCCUAGUCAUGGGUCUCUCAGUGGUUAAAAAUAGGAAAGUCACAAGCAAACUGGGGUAACCAUUCACUUCAGUUGACGCAUACCAUAUCCUGGGUUUUUCAUACACCUCUCCAAAUUUAAUAAACCCAUCAACUCAUGACUAAGGCUAUCCUUUUUUUAUCCAAGCAUGACCAAAAGGAAGCAAACUAGGUGGUGAGGGCAAAAUGCACAGGAGUGCUAACUAGGAAAGCAUCUUACAGAUGAACUGGGUUUAUCAAAGGCAGGGCUCUCUAGGAAGCAGGUAUCUGAGAUAAUUAUUCAUGGGCAGAAGAUUGUCUGGGAUUGAACACUAGUAGACAGAAAAGCAAGGAAAAACAGAAAGCCCUGGUGCGGUUGGGCUGCCACACAGUGUGUGCAAUUCCCAACUGAUCUCCCAGGCUCUGUGAAACUGAAAUGGUCAUCAAUCAUGGCCUAAACGUCCAGAAAUGAGUCACCCAUGAAAGUAGACUAAUGCUUUCAUGAGCCCCAUGUGCAGUGCAUAUGACUAGUUACUCUCUAGCCACAGACUAGGAGUGAGCCAGUUAUAGGAGGGGAAAUAAAUCUUGGGUUUUUGGCUGAAAGGUCCUGAAACAGCUAGGGGAAUGAGACCACAUCUUUGAAGGAGUGUGUGGGCAGCACAUCACAGAAUCCACUAUGAUGUAAAGAGAACCAAGGCUUGCUACAGUGAUUAAUUUCUCUUAGAACCAAUGCAAUUUCGAAGCAUAUGAUUAAAGAUGAUAAAAGCUCUAUAGCAUUUUUUUGGUAUCCCCUUUGUUUAGGAAAUUGCUUGAUUUUAUUUUUUUGUCAGUAAAUGAUGAAUUGAUUCCUGAUUUUACUUCACAUUCAUAUCUCUAAAAUGAUGACUUGUAUACACAAAUACUAGCUGUUACAUGACACAUUCCCAAGCCAGAAAUUCCAUUCAAGCAUGAAUAAAAUCACCAUAUAUGUGAGGGGCACUGCUUUAGUACUGCAUGCUCUACUCAAUCACCCUUCCUGGAUCCAAGGACUUUUGAUGUUCCUUCAUGAUCAAAGUUUUCAAAUCCAUAUAUCUUCAAAAGAGCUGUCACGACCAGGGCUUUGAGCAGAGUGGUCAUCCAUAUCCAAUCACUAUUUCCUGGUUCUGUCCCUGAAUUCUAAGCUUUCAGAACAGGUUCUCUGUUAAUGUUGUUAAAUGUGGGAGCAAAUUCUAACCAAAUCACAAGAAUAUGAAAGUAUGUGCUAUGGAUUUUGGUCACAGGCAGCUAUCCAUCUAAUAUCAUGAAAAGAAAGUUUGCCAAAUGCAGGUCAAAUAUGCAGUGUUAGUAAUAAAUAUGACACAUGGCAUCUCAACCUGCUUUAGUACAUAUUCACUAUUUUGAAACAUAUUAUUUCAUAUUAUUUUCUACCAAAAUUUUAUAAUUAACCAGUAAUGUCAUGUGCAAUAAUGUUCUUGUGUUACUUAAGAAAAAAAAUACCAUGCUUUAUGAGAUAGAAUACUAAAGAUGCUUGCAUCCACACAAGUCUUAACAGUUGUAUAUUUUUCAUAAUACUUUCUGGCCUUUAACCUGAGUUUAUAUAUCACAAUACAAUUUAGAGUCUAUGAACUACUCUUAUUUUAUAUAUUUUCUAAAUGAAGGUAUAGCCGAUAUUAUCUUUUUAUCUUUUUUUUUGAGGGGGUAUGGAUCUGUUGAACAAUUUCAUAUUUUUUUCAUUUUUUAAAGUUUUAUCAAAGUUGAUUUAGAAUUUGGUGGUAAUUUCUGCCAUGCAACAAAGUGAUUCAAUAAUAUAC